GAUGAAGAACGUAGCAAAAUGCGAUAAGUAAUGUGAAUUGCAGAAUUCAGUGAAUCAUCGAAUCUUUGAACGCACAUUGCGCCCGCUGGUAUUCCGGCGGGCAUGCCUGUUCGAGCGUCAUUUCAACCCUCAAGCCCCCGGGUUUGGUGUUGGGGAUCGGCUCUGCCCUUCUGGGCGGUGCCGCCCCCGAAAUACAUUGGCGGUCUCGCUGCAGCCUCCAUUGCGUAGUAGCUAACACCUCGCAACUGGAACGCGGCGCGGCCAUGCCGUAAAACCCCAACUCCUGAAUGUUGACCUCGGAUCAGGUAGGAAUACCCGCUGAACUUAAGCAUAUCAAUAAGCGGAGGA
rnacentral:misc_RNA from 1 species